rnacentral:tRNA from 1 species
GAGGGUAUAGCUCAGUGGCAGAGUGCAUGCUUAGCAUGCACAAGAUCCUAGGAUCAAUCCCCAGUACCUCCA